rnacentral:rRNA from 1 species
UUUUUUUUUUUUUUUUUUCACCUCAGAUUUUUUUUUUUUUUUUGGCGGCGACACAUGCAAGUCGAACGGUGGGCCAAGACUUUGAUCUCGGGUGACGAGUGGCGGACGGGUGAGUAAUGUGUGGGAGACUGCGUGAUAGAGGGGGAUAACUCCUCAAAGCGGUAGAUAAUACUGCAUAACGUCGCAGAACCAAACAGGAGGACAUUUGGGCCUCUCGCCAUAAGAUGUGCCCAGAUGUGAUUAGUUAGUGGGUGGGGUAAUGCCUCACCUAGGCGACGAUCCAUAGCUGCUCCGAGAGGAUGACCAGCCACACUGGAAAUGAGACGCUGUCCAGCCUCGUACGGGAGGCACCAGUCGGGAUUUUUGCACAGGGGGCGCAAGCGUGAUUCAGCCAACCCGGGAGUACGAAGAAGGCCUUCGGGUUGUAAAGUACGUUGAGCGUGGAGGAAUGCAUUUUUGUUUUUAACGGCAAUAAUUGACGUUCCUUACAGAAGAAGCACCGGCAAAUUCCGUGCCAGCAGCCCCGGUAAUACGGAGGGGGCAAGGGUUUCUUGGAAUUAUUGGGGGUAAAGCGCGGGCGGGGGGUCUGUUAAUUCAGAUGGAAAAUCCCCGGGUUCAACCUGGGAACUGCAUUUGAAACUGGCAUGUUUGAGUCAGGUAGAGGGGGGUAGAAUUCCAGGUGUAGCGGGGAAAUGGGUAGAAAUUGGGAGGAAAACCGGGGGGGAAGGGGGCCUCUGGGACAAAGAUGGACGUUCAGGUGGGAAAGGUGGGGGGGCAACCAGGAUUAAUUACCCUGGUGGUCCCCCCCUUAAACGAUGUUGACUUGGAGGGGGGCCCGGAGGCUUCGGUGCCGCAGCUAACGCAAUAAGCAGUCCGCCUGGAGACUAAUGG